rnacentral:lncRNA from 1 species
GGGAUCUGUACCUACAAAUGGGUGACAGUGGGGGCCAAUGGUCUGAAAGGUGCUGGGUAGAUACCAGCACCUGAUACCUGAGCCAGUUUAGGAUGGCUCAGGUCUCCUUCACAGAGAUCCUGAGAACUUGCUAUUUCAGUGCUCAAGCAAAGAUGUCCAAAGCUGAAUGCCUCAAGAUGAAAAGUCAUCAAUAACCAGGUUCCUAGGGUAAUGUUACAUCCUUCACCAGAUGCUGUACUUUGCUGGACCUUUGUUCUGCCAAGCCUACACUUCAUGAACCUCUUCUUGACCUUCCGUUGAGGACAAUUAUGGCCCUCCUCAAUGAGCUGCAAAGAUUUUUGCAUAUCUGACUGAACCUGUGCAUGUCAUCUGUGUGAAGAAGUCACAUAUGCCACAGAGUCUGCUGCUCUUCAAGGCACAGAAGGGUGGGGCACGCCUGGUGGGACUUGUUCUGCAUGCAAAACUUCCUGCCUGAAGGAGCAUCCACAGGAAUCCCACCAAGGUCAAGCCCAAUGAUCUUGGCUUGUGUCAGGAUUGACAAAACUCCGCAGUGCUAACGGCAGUGGGAAUGGUUCUUCCAAACUUCCUCAUAUUGGGAAAAGCACUGUUGUGGAAAAGGUCACAUCUAAUCACUCCAAAGUACAGCAGGGACAGAAUCAUUUAACUGGAAAAGCUGGGAACAAUAGGAACAAGUCAUUUUCCAGUCUGUCCUGGGUAAAGCAGCACAAUUAACUGCUUUACUUAACAUGCAAGUUUAUAAGUGAUCUCCAUGACACCCCUGACACGAAGAAAAUAAUGGGGUUAAACUGGCUCUCAUUACAAGCUGAUCUUUGUGCAGACUUUGGUUGGUAGAACUGGCAGAAGACGUGUAUUGCAGAAUUAAAAUUAAAAGUUAUGAGAACCAUCGCUACAUAAUGGUGAGAUCAGACGAGAAUGGGAGAAUCCACACAAGUCUUUAAUCUCCAUCAAGACAAGACAUUGUUUCUGCUUGGUUCUGCAGUUUAAAAUAAAUCCUUAAUGACACUGUCAUCGUCUCGUUUUGUGGUCUUCAUUUCCUCCUGAUUAUAAAUAAGAAUCAGGUUUCCCUUUAGCAGGACUGGGAGGCAGGGGAGUUCAAACUCUUCUGCUCACAGGGAGCAAGAGCUGCUGCUCUCACUGCAGUGUCAGAUCUUUG